UACGUAGGGUGCAAGCGUUGUCCGGAAUUAUUGGGCGUAAAGAGCUCGUAGGCGGUUUGUCGCGUCUGCUGUGAAAACCCGAGGCUCAACCUCGGGCCUGCAGUGGGUACGGGCAGACUAGAGUGCGGUAGGGGAGAUUGGAAUUCCUGGUGUAGCGGUGGAAUGCGCAGAUAUCAGGAGGAACGCCAAUGGCGAAGGCAGAUCUCUGGGCCGUAACUGACGCUGAGGAGCGAAAGCAUGGGGAGCGAACAGG
rnacentral:rRNA from 1 species